GCACUGCUGAGUAGUUCCACAAUAGGACGAAACGGUCGUCCAGUGC
rnacentral:hammerhead_ribozyme from 1 species